UCUCCAGACACUCCAUCUCUCAGACCUGCAGGAGGUCCUGGGUCCAUCCUGCCCACACAGGGCCAAGGGCAGCCACAAAAUACUCUAAACUGAGCUCAAAAUGCUCACUGAAGACACAGGGCUCACAUUAAUGAGCUACAAACAUAUAGAGAACACAAUUCUAGAUGAUGGCUGUAUGGAAGGACAGGUCCUGCAUGACCAAAGGGAAGUGCUGCUCCUUGGGAACGUUCACGUGCCAGGAUGAAUUAAUUCUCUGGGAAUGAUAAGGUGGUCAAAGAGGUGUCAGUUGUGAACCGAAGACACAGAAAUAAUGCUACUAAAAAACCAAAGUGGUGACAAAAUGCAUUAGAGAAGAGAAUGAUUAAUAAGGCUACAAAAGUAGCAAAACAAAAAAAAUGAAGAAAACCAUACGACAACAACAACAGAAAAAACAACUGCAACGUAACACUUCACUAAGAUUAGGAUUUAAUUCCUUUUCAGUCUGCUCCAAAGUGAGCUUUGACAUUUCAGGUGAUGCUCAUCUGAGAAAGCAGAUGACUCCAAUUGUACCAGUUGGAAUUGCUGACUUGGACUGGCUCAGGGAUGGAGUUCAGGAAGGGAUGUGGUUAAUUGCUGAACACAAAAAACACACCCUGUUUGAAAACCACAUUUCAAGCCAGGGAGAACAGACAUUUCCCAACAGGAAGGAAUCCAAAGAGCCUUGCACUGAUGUGCCCAGUGAAAGGGAGUCUCACUAACUCCAAGAGUCAGGCACCACAGAAGCCUUCCCACCUCAAACCAAAACUAAUGGAAAGUGAAAGCAUUCCCUGCAUGAAAAACAAAAAUACCUGUUUAUUUGCAUGGCAAAAGUUCUGAAGCUGCUGCUCAACAUGUGACAGCCAAAGCACUCAGCUGCAGUAACAACUACAACGUGACCAUCCCAAGGAAAAAAAAGCUAUUUCUCCUCUUCCUAAACUUCCCUCCAUCCAGUCACUCAGUUCGCUGGAGUCAUUUUGACUUGGACAAAGAAAAGCACAUAAUGCAAGAAGUUUUAAGCUUCCUGUUUGUUGGUGAAAAUGCUGGAUCCCUUCUAUGGGAGGGAGAGCAACUGCACACGGGCUGGACCAAACCAGAGCUGGUUCCUGCAGCAACACUGCUCCCAGUGCCAUCCCAUCUGCUGCAGCACGAGGCAGUGCCAGGUCAGGAGGGCACGAAAUCAUAAGGUUCUCCUCCUCCUCUUCCCUCAUCCAGGAGGAUUCCCACUCCCCAAACAUCCCCUAAGUGUCCCCCUGCACCUUAGCCCAGCAGACUGAAAGAGGGGAGCUGGAUUAGCAGAAAGAUUGGUGAGGUAGAAUGGCAUACUCACAACAGAACUAGAAAUUAAAUUUAACAAACACGAUUUUUUUAAAAGAACCAAAACAAAAACAACAGAACUCAGAAUGAUGGCGGAUAUUUUUAAAAUAAACACGUCAAGGUUUAAAUGAAAUACCCCAUAGUCCUCUCCCACCUCCCUUAAAAACAGAGCAAAUGCUUGAUAUGUCACACCAUAAAUAGAAUCAGCCUUAAAGACAGCCCAGCAUGCCAGAAGAGAUGGCUAAAGGGACCAGCUCUUUUUUUCCUUUUCUUUAGAAGUUACAAAUAAAAGACAG